UUCGCAAUGCCCGAAAGGGUGACUAUGCGACGCCGCGUGCAGGAUGAAGGCCUUCGGGUUGUAAACUGCUGUCAGGGGGGAAGAAACCUCGCAUGUUAACAGCGUGCGAGUUUGACAUCACUCCCAAAGGAAGCCACGGCUAACUCUGUGCCAGCAGCCGCGGUAAGACAGAGGUGGCAAGCGUUGUUCGGAUUUAUUGGGUGUAAAGGGCAGGUAGGUGGUCUUGCAAGUCCGGUGUGAAAUCCCUCGGCUCAACCGAGGAACUGCGUUUGAAACUGCAGGGCUAGAGUGCAGGAGGGGAGAGUGGAAUUCCUGGUGGAGCGGUGAAAUGCGUAGAUAUCAGGAAGAACGCCGGAGGCGAAAGCGGCUCUCUGGCCUGUUACUGACGCUGAGGUGCGAAAGCCAAGGGAGCAAACAGGAUUAGAUACCCUGGUAGUCCUAGCCCUAAACGAUGGGCACUAAGUAGAGGGGUUUUA
rnacentral:rRNA from 1 species